GGAUGUCCAGAUAUGGGUAGAUCCGAGUCCCCUGGCUUUCCCAUCCUCCCCUUCCCUGUGCAGGAGCAUGCUGAAGGCCUUGGGAGAACAGAUUUUGGGUUGGGUCCA